AUAAUUAUAAUAUUUAAGACUUUACAGUAAACAAUAACAUAGUAAAUCCUAGGACUUAAGGAUUCCUUUCCUUGAGCUUGGGAAUCACAUAUCAAUCUCCUUAAUCAUAUAGACAUUCUUUAAGCAUCCAUAACCUACAUGUUGUGUAAACACAAGAGAAGAAUGGAAUUAGUAAAAGAAUGCACUAAGUAUGACAACUAUGCAAAAACACGUAUUUAAAAGGGAUAUUUUCUUGAAGUCAUAUUUCAUGCCUUUAUGUUUAAAUCUUUAUAAAUCUUGAAACAGUAGAUUGAUAUAAUUCGUACACUUCAUAUAAACAUAUUCUAAGGCCAAACAUUUCAUAGAAUCACAGAUAGGAUUUAUUACAUUUUUUAGUCACAUUACAAUGAUCUCUUGUUCCCUUAACAGUGAGCUAAUUUCCUUUUUAUUUCAUUAACUUCCCAAAUAACCCUUUAGUGAUGGUGCAAUGCAUCACCUUAGGACCACAAGGAAAACAAUACUUACAACUUAAAGAAUCCAACACAUAUCAUCAUAGAAAUAUAGUACAACAUAGACAUGGUUAAGUUAAGACCUUCAUCAUAUAGUCAACAAGAUCAACAUCAUGCAUAAAGACUCAUAUAAUGCACAUCUUCAUAACAAAUAGACAAAUAAUGCAAUGUCAUGCAUAACAAGCAGAUACAUAGUGACAUGCGUUAGAACACCUUUGUAGAAGUUCUUACGAAGCUACUAGUGCAAUGUCUAGAUGGGUUCAUUACUUCCACGCAUCUUAAUUAACCUCCCAUAAGUCAUUCUAGUUAGGGUCUUAGUAAUUUACAUCCUUUGUCCAUUUUACACUAGGGAAACUAUAGCCUUAACCGACAUAGACCAUGUAAUGCAAAACAUGAAAUCCGGUGUGUAAAAAUCCAAACCAAAAAAGGGUGGUCUACCGGCCAAAGUAUAACAAAACAUAACAUAUUUUUGUAGGUGGAUCAAAUAGCUAGUAUCCUAUGGUGGCAACAUAGUUAUGAAACUUGGAGGAACGUGUGAAAACCCUCUUUAUGCGAACAUUAGGCAUUGUAGUUAUUCACUUAGGGAAACCCUAUGUAUGCCUAUUGAGGGUUAUCCACCUCAAGAGAUUUCUGGUGACCUACCUUCCUACCUUAGGAAGGAACACACACCCAUAUUCAAGUUUACUCAGUGCUAAGCUAAUUUACCUUCAUUAAAAAUCUUAUUAUAAAUUUACUUUAUAAAAUAUAGGUUCAUGAGAGUCAUCUUCUUAUACACUUAACUCAUAGGUCAUAGAUGGAAGUUCAUCAACCUAAAUCAUGUAAAGAAUCCUUUGACAUGAACAUUACAUAUGUAAAGUAUCAUCUUGUUUAGGGUACACAUGAGUACACCAUUCAAGGCCCCUCUAUUAACUAGGUCUUUAUACAUGUGUGUGUGUAUACAUAUAUGUGAGCAAAACUUUAACAUAAAAUAUUAAGACACACAUGUUCAUACAUGCAUAUUCAUACAUAUAGAAACCAAAACUAGAACUAUUCCAUCAAAGUACACAUGUGCAAUGCGUAGGCAAAGUCUCAUACCCUUUCCUAUACUAGUAAACCUAUUAAGUCAUCCCAGCAAAGGAAACACAUAUCAUGCUUUCAUAAAAAUCAUCUUACCAUGCAUAGUAGUAGACACCAGUGAAUAUGAGAACUACCUUUGAUUUAGACACCAUGUCCUAUACUACUUGUAUAAUACAUGUAAAGUGUGUGAGUACAUUGGUCAACAUGAUCGCAUAAUGGCUAUCAACAACAUAUUGAGGUUGCUACCCUCUUACACCAUAAUACUCUUUCAAGCAUAAAGCACACAACACACAAAAGAAAUGGAGAGAAUUAAACUUCAUAUUACACUUAAGACUCCUAACUUGUGCUAUUUCAUGAAUUCACAUAGGGGUACAUAGGUAUGGGAUUAUUAACAAUUUUACUCAUAAUUGGAAGCACCUAUACUUUAACCUAACAUAGAUAUACACAUGCUUACACAACAGCCGUACAACCUAAAUUACAACUAGAAUAGGAAUGUAGGAAUAAGCCUCACAUAGUAUCAUCAUAAGUACAUGUUCAUAUAUUCAUUAAUUUGCCUUCAUGACCAUGGUCAACACAUAUAUAGAUUGAAAGUAAAGUAAACACAUCCACCAUAAGUGGACCAUACCAUAGAAUGCCAUACAAGGAUUCCUCAAUAUCACUAUAAAGAAAUACAGAAGAAGAAGAGUGGAGGAAUAAGCAUUCUUACCAAUUUCUCCUAAUUUUAUCCUCAUAGAUCAAUACCCCUUAUUUAUCAACAAUUCAUAUAUAAGGCAGUAUAUAUAUGUACUUUAGUCAUACAAACAAACCAUGUACAAGUGGCUACAAGAUAACAUUAUAGCAUAAUACGAGGCAUCUCACAUGUACUAGGAAGUAGAGAGUCCUAAUCCAUCAACUAACCUUCCUAAUUAAGUUCAUCAUUCGUCAUAUACAAAUAAUAUACAUUAAGGGAAGUAGAUAAAUAUAUUAAUAUCAUGCCUCAUCUACCCAAGAAUUAAGAUAACAUAAUGUUCAUUACAAAAGUCAAAUUGUAGGUUAGAAGAACCUAGAACAAUUCAUGACAAAAUUAAUUUAAUUUGAUAAUCAAUAAUUCAUACCUACAAUACAUUAAUACCGUAAAUAUAAGAAAGUACAUGAUGAAAAUAUAACCUAAAAAAGUCCUACUAUCGUUGCUAUAACCUUUAAAUUACAGUAAACAUGUUAUUUAAGACAUCCAUGGAGAGUAGAAGAUUCAUAGUCUAACCAAUAUUGAUCUAUCAUGAAAUAAUUUAUUUACAAUUAAUCUAUAAUAUUAAAUUGAUACAGUAGAUACAAUGAUCUUUACCCAAUUGAAAUCUCGUACCAGUCACCAUGAAGCUGAACUUACAUUGAACUCAUAGAACAUAGGCUAGUUUGUUCAAAUCUUCAUGCAUAGAUUCACAUGGAUAAUUCAUCAGUGAUUCUACAUAAAUAUACAUACUAGAAAGUAGACAUAAGCAUAUUAACUGUCACGACCCAACCCGAUUGGCCGUGACUAGUGCCCGUUUUGGACACCCACAUACAAACCUGCUAAGUAUAACCAACUGAAACUAAGACAAUAUGGAAUUUAAUCAAAUCAAGCCAACCCCAACGUCAUAUAUAUAUAAGAGGACCUGUCUCAUAAGGAGUCAUAACCAUUCAACCAUAACAGCAUACGCGAGCCGACAAGGCUGCCACUAUACAAUACACAAUGAUGUACGCAGCCGACAAGGCUGCCCCUGUACAAGCGGACAUCCCAAACAAACCAUGUCCAGACCAUUAUCUAAAACAUAUAUAUACAACCCACAUAAUGUCCACAGACCUCUAAGAGUACAUUAGUGAAACUCGACGGUACAGGGCCCCGCCAUACCCAUGGACGAGCAAAAGACAACACAAAAGUUAUGUACCAAAACGACUGGGCUCCGGAACAGUGGAGCUCUCCCAAUCAGCAGAGUAGAUAUCCUAGGCGGGAGGAUCACCAAACUGUGGGCAUGAAACGCAGCCCCCGAGGAAAGGGGAGUCAGUACGGACAAUGUACUGAGUAUGUAAGGCAUAAGGUAAAGAUGACAGGAUACCAAUACGGCAAGUCGAAACAAAAUAUCGCUACACAUAUACCCUUUUAAGUGAAAAUCAUGCAUAUAUUUAACAUUUAAGGUGCCCAGCUUCCCUAGUAAGGGGCUCGGCAAAAUAAUCAUCACGUCAUCUCCGUCAUCAUCAUCAUCAUAACUAUCCUCAUCACCAAUCAUAUAUAUAAUAUACAUACCCGGCCCUCUAGUGAGGAACUCGGUGACAUAUGCAAGAAACUCCGCACGAACAUUACCCGGCCCGGGACUCGGUGAAAUGAUAAAUGACUCUAUGCACGAGUAGAAUAUUAUGAGCAACCAUAUGCAAUUAAAAUAAUUUCUUAUAACUCAAUAGAACAAUCAACGUGAACCAGUAAGGAGUAUUACCAAAGAUUAAUGUUUUAUCAAGAUUAUGAACCUUUAAUAUGAUAUGGAAACGCAAAAUCUCAAUGACUCUAAGAAGCAUUACCAUAGAUAUUAGAGAUCAUCAUAGCCUUAGACAUAGCCGAUAUAUAGAGGAAUAAUUGUGGAAGCAAGAAUAUACGUCACCUAGACGCUCUAGAGGUAAGUAUCAAAUCUGUCCGUUAUUCGCUUAUUUUUAAAAGUCAUGCCAAACAAAGAAAGAAGGGACAGCGUUACAUACCGUAUAAUCGAGCCGCACGUCCAAUAUUUACUGCUCAAGCUAUUAAUCUAUAACAAGCAACAAUCGUGCCGCAAUUAGAUAAACAUCGUGCUUUACUUUCUUGUAAGCUAGCUAAUAAUCUAACGAAAAUUCGGCAGCACCUCCCCUAUUUUCCUUACUUCGUCCCAAUCCGACAACAAUCAAAAUUAUCCACAGCAGUACCAAUAACACAUAUAACCCAAAGAAUCAUAUUAAACAGCCCCCUCCCCAAAACAGUUCCGUCUCGGCAACCAUAGCAGCGAAGCAACGACACACCGAGCGAUAACUCGUUUUAUAAUUCCCAACACAUCUACCUUAUCGUAUUCAUUCUUUGGAGUAUAUACUCAUAAUCACAUUCAACAUAUACAUAAUGCCAAAACAGAAUUUUCCUGCAGUUUGCUUUAAUCAAAACAGCCCAAGCACCAACACAACACCACUAAUAAUCCGAUCAUGGUUUCCAUUCAUACUUAGCACAUUCAAUAACUAAAACAAACUUCCUAAGCUACUGGUCACGCCCCCUUCUUAAAAUUAAUGGAUAAUUAACAAGGUAUUCUAAAGAAUUAACACACCAAACAAGGAGAUUACUAACCAAAUUAUUUGCAGCUGCUGGCCAAGAGUUGCAGGGUUGGUUUCUCCAUUUUCAUGGCUGCCUAAGACAAGUGGUGAAGAAGAAGAUGAUAUGCAGCAAUGCAUU
rnacentral:lncRNA from 1 species